AGAGGCGAUGAAGGACGUGCUAAUCUGCGAUAAGCGUCGGUAAGGUGAUAUGAACCGUUAUAACCGGCGAUUUCCGAAUGGGGAAACCCAGUGUGUUUCGACACACUAUCAUUAACUGAAUCCAUAGGUUAAUGAGGCGAACCGGGGGAACUGAAACAUCUAAGUACCCCGAGGAAAAGAAAUCAACCGAGAUUCCCCCAGUAGCGGCGAGCGAACGGGGAGCAGCCCAGAGCCUGAAUCAGUGUGGGUGUUAGUGGAAGCGUCUGGAAAGGCGUGCGAUACAGGGUGACAGCCCCGUACACAAAAAUGCACAUAUUGUGAGCUCGAUGAGUAGGGCGGGACACGUGGUAUCCUGUCUGAAUAUGGGGGGCCCAUCCUCCAAGGCUAAAUACUCCUGACUGACCGAUAGCGAACCAGUACCGUGAGGGAAAGGCGAAAAGAACCCCGGCGAGGGGAGUGAAAAAGAACCUGAAACCGUGUACGUACAAGCAGUGGGAGCCUCUUUAUGGGGUGACUGCGUACCUUUUGUAUAAUGGGUCAGCGACUUAUAUUCUGUAGCAAGG
rnacentral:rRNA from 1 species